rnacentral:rRNA from 1 species
GAUGAACGCUAGCGAUAGGCUUAACACAUGCAAGCCGAGGGGCAGCACGGGUAGCAAUAUCUGGUGGCGACCGGCGCACGGGUGCGUAACGCGUAUGCAAUCUACCUUCAACUGGUGAAUAGCCCGAAGAAAUUCGGAUUAACACACCAUAAUAUAUUAGGGUGGCAUCACUUUAAUAUUAAAACUCCGGUGGUUGAAGAUGAGCAUGCGUGACAUUAGCUAGUUGGUGAGGUAACGGCUCACCAAGGCUACGAUGUCUAGGGGAUCUGAGAGGAUUAACCCCCACACUGGUACUGAGACACGGACCAGACUCCUACGGGAGGCAGCAGUAAGGAAUAUUGGACAAUGGUGGAAACACUGAUCCAGCCAUGCCGCGUGAAGGAUGACGGCCCUAUGGGUUGUAAACUUCUUUUGUACGGGAAAAAACCUCUUUACGUGUAAAGAGCUGAUUGUACUGUAAGAAUAAGGAUCGGCUAACUCCGUGCCAGCAGCCGCCGUAA